GAUUCGUUAGCUCAGUCGGUAGAGCAUCUGACUUUUAAUCAGAGGGUCGGGAGUUCGAGCCUCCCACGGAUCA
rfam:Aerococcus sanguinicola strain CCTG43001, complete genome.